rnacentral:rRNA from 1 species
GAUGAACGCUGACAGAAUGCUUAACACAUGCAAGUCUUUGGCGAAGCUGUGCUUGCACAGCCUAGCCAAGGCGGACGGGUGAGUAACGCGUAAGGAACUUGCCCUGCAGUCAGGGAUAACAGACGGAAACGACUGAUAAGACCUGGUAAAGUCAGGCGGACUCAUGUCCAGCCUGAUGAAAAGUGAUGCUGCAGGAGAGCCUUGCGUCCUAUUAGCUUGUUGGUGGGGUAACGGCCCACCAAGGCGAUGAUAGGUAGCCGGCCUGAGAGGGUGGACGGCCACAAGGGGACUGAGAUACGGCCCUUACUCCUACGGGAGGCAGCAGUGGGGAAUAUUGGACAAUGGGGGUAACCCUGAUCCAGCAAUUCUGUGUGCACGAUGAAGGUUUUCGGAUUGUAAAGUGCUUUCAGCAGGGAAGAAAAAAAUGACGGUACCUGCAGAAGAAGCGACGGCUAAAUACGUG